rnacentral:rRNA from 1 species
UCAGGAUGAACGCUGGCGGCGUGCUUAACACAUGCAAGUCGAACGAAGCAACUUAUCACGAUCCCUUCGGGGUGACGAUUGUUGACUGAGUGGCGGACGGGUGAGUAACGCGUGGGUAACCUGCCUUGUACAGGGGGACAACAGUUGGAAACGACUGCUAAUACCGCAUAAGCGCACAGCUUCGCAUGAAGUAGUGUGAAAAGAUUUUUUCGGUACAAGAUGGACCCGCGUCUGAUUAGCUAGUUGGUGAGGUAACGGCCCACCAAGGCGACGAUCAGUAGCCGACCUGAGAGGGUGACCGGCCACAUUGGGACUGAGACACGGCCCAAACUCCUACGGGAGGCAGCAGUGGGGAAUAUUGCACAAUGGGCGAAAGCCUGAUGCAAGCGACGCCGCGUGAGCGAAGAAGUAUUUCGGUAUGUAAAGCUCUAUCAGCAGGGAAGAUAAUGACGGUACCUGACUAAGAAGCACCGGCUAAAUACGUGCCAGCCGCCGC